GUAAGCGUGCGCAGCGGUUAUGUAAGACAGAUGUGAAAUCCCCGGGCUCAACCUGGGAACUGCAUUUGUGACUGCAUGGCUAGAGUACGGUAGAGGGGGAUGGAAUUCCGCGUGUAGCAGUGAAAUGCGUAGAUAUGCGGAGGAACACCGAUGGCGAAGGCAAUCCCCUGGACCUGUACUGACGCUCAUGCACGAAAGCGUGGGGAGCAAACAGGAUUAGAUACCCUUGU
rnacentral:rRNA from 1 species